AAGUGAUCCUCCCGCCUCGGUCUCUCCAAAUGUUGGGAUUACAGGCGUGAGCCACCGCGCCUGGCCAUCCCUGAGCAUUCUUGAAAGAAGCUGUCACCAGGCAGGCUGUGCUUCCCUGGGAGCGCACAGAUGGGAGGGAGAGAGAAAAUUCUCUUCACAAAGAAACCCAAGCUGGGGAGGCAGGGACGGUGGUGUCUGCUGUUCCGGGAUUGAGAGAGAUGAAGCACUUACUCACCUCAGUGACUGGUGUGCGCAGCCACUCCCUGAAAGAAAACUGGCUCAGAGAGGCUGAGUAACCUGCUCAAGAUGACACAGCUUGUGGGUGGCUGAGUUGGCCUUCCAACCCAGAUUCCUGUCAUGUUCCUCAAGCCGACAGGUUCAGCUUGGUUGUGACCUCUGCUAGAAGCCCUCCCUGGCCUCCCUGUGCACUGAGCUGGUGGUUCCUCCUUUGCGCCCCAGGUACAUGCUCAGAUCUGUGUACCCUACACUUUGUCCUCCAGCUUCGUGUUUGGAUGUUCACAACUCCCAUGAGAAGGGCCCCCGAGAGCUGGCACAGUGCAUGUGUUUCCUCUCCAGACUUCUACAAACCUGGCACAUAAUUGUUUGCUGAAAGAUGGCAUGUUCCUAAAACAGAGGAAGUAGAACCGAAUAAAGCGAAAUCCAACUUCCCACUCCCUGCUCUCACUUCCUCUGGGACAGGCCUUGAGCAAGAGAGACAAAAAGAACAAGAGAUGAUCUUUCCCUUUAAUGGGAUUUCAGUCUGAUCAGGGAGAUAGUAACAGAAAGACUAGACUAGACUAGUGUAUGAUUAAAUGACAUUUGCCAUCCCCAGAAGAGGGAGAGACCUGCAUGGAACAGGGUGGUCAAGGCAGGCUUCCUGGAGGAGGCAAAGACUUAGAUUUAACAGUACCAGAGCUCCAGGAUAGAUCCUCCUCUGACUGAACUCCCUAUUUCUUUCUCCCACCCCAACCUUCCCGGGUCCCCAGCUGAAGGGAUACGUGUGUGUGUGUGUGUACAUGUGCCUGCACACAUGUACACAUGUGGUUAGAAAGGGGGUAUUAGUAUCUCUCUCCUAGGAUGGAGUCUCAAGGACAGGCCCAUCAUCUCCUCAGUUUGCCCCUCUCUCUCCCACUUCACCUAGGGAAUGGAAUAAGAAUGGGAUAAGUAUAACACAAUGAGACGAAUGCAGAACCAACUAGAUGUACACCCAACAAUGUGGAUGAACCUUAAAACAGUGCUGCCUGAAGAAGGCAAGAAACAGAAUGAAAUCUGCAGCACAUCAUUCAUAUAAACUAAAAAUACAUGCACAGAGAAAGGCCACUUUUUUUUUUUUGGAGACAAAGUUUCGCUCUUGUCACUCAGGCUGGAGUGCAAUGGCACGAUCUCGGCUCACUGCAACGUCCACCUCUAGGGUUCAAGCGACUGUCCUGCCUCAGCUUCUAGAGUAGCUGGGAUUAUAGGAGCCCACCACCAUGGCCGGCUAAUUUUUGUCUUUUUAGUAGAGACGGGGUUUCACCAUGUUGCCCAGGCUGGUCUCAAACUCCUGACCUCAGGUGAUCCACGUGCCUCGGCCUCCGAAAGUGCUGGGAUUACAGGCGUGAGCCACCGCACCCAGUCAGCAACGUAUGUUUUGUAGAGACACAGACAAAGAUGUGAUGUCAAACACACUAAUGUGGUUGCCUCAUUUAUGGAUGGGGGACUGGGCUGGUGAAUGAGGAUUAAAGGAAUAAAUAAAUAAAACAAGAGAGGGCCUCUGUACAGAACGGUGAUGACAGCGUGCCGUCGAGGAGAAUGAUGAACUCAAACUUUUGCACCUGAGAGCCAAACAAAAGCUCAAAACCAAAAUCUCUCUUAGAAAUGAUGCCACUGACUUUAGGAUGGCACUCAUAUCUGUGUGAGUGGGAGAGAGAAGGGUUUGGGGCAGGGAUUUGACUGUAGCUGUAAUGUUUUAUUCCUUUAAAAAAGAUAAGAUAAUCUGAAACAAAAUGUUAAUAUCUGUUGAAUCUGGGGAGAGGCUAUGAGGGUUUCUGUUAAACCAUUUUGUGUACAUUUUAAAUACAGUCAUGCAUGAGUUAAUGAUGGGGAAUAAGUUCUUAGAGAUACGUUGUUAAGCAGUUUUGUUAUUGUGUGAACAUUAUCGAGUGUACUUACACAAACUUAGGAUGGAAUAGCUGACUAUAUAACUUAGACUAUAUGGUCUAGCCUAUUGCUUGAAGGCUGCAAACCCAUACUCCAUGUUACUGUACUGAAUAAUGAAGACAAGUGUAAUACGAUGGCAAGUAUUUGUGUAUCUAAACAUAGAAAAGGUACAGUAGAAAUGUGGUAUCGUAGUCUUAUGAGAGUACUGUUGUAUAUGCAAUGCUUUGUUGACUGAAACAUCAUUAUGUGGUUCAUGACUGUAUAUCAUAAUUUUAAAAAAUAUUUUAAGAGGUUGCCAAUCAAGACACUACAAACUAAUUUUGUGGCUUUUGUCAAAAUUCAUUUCUUUCUUUCUUUUUUUUUUUUUUGUUUUGAGACAGGGAUCACUCAAGCAAUCCUUCUGCCUUA
rnacentral:lncRNA from 1 species